UGGGGAAUAUUACACAAUGGGGGAAACCCUGAUGCAGCGACGCCGCGUGAACGAAGAAGGUAUUCGUAUCGUAAAGUUCUGUCCUAUGGGAAGAUAAUGACAGUACCAUAGAAGAAAGCUCCGGCUAAAUACGUGCCAGCAGCCGCGGUAAUACGUAUGGAGCGAGCGUUGUCCGGAAUUAUUGGGCGUAAAGGGUACGCAGGCGGUUUAAUAAGUCGAAUGUUAAAGAUCGGGGCUCAACCCCGUAAAGCAUUGGAAACUGAUAAACUUGAGUAGUGGAGAGGAAAGUGGAAUUCCUAGUGUAGUGGUGAAAUACGUAGAUAUUAGGAGGAAUACCAGUAGCGAAGGCGACUUUCUGGACACAAACUGACGCUGAGGUACGAAAGCGUGGGGAGCAAACAGG
rnacentral:rRNA from 2 species